GGACUGUGGCUCAGCGGUAGCAUGUGUGCCUAGCAGGUGCGGGGUCCUGAGUUCGAUCCUCAGCACCA
rnacentral:tRNA from 1 species